UACGUAGGGUCCAAGCGUUAUCCGGAAUCACUGGGCGUAAAGCGUGCGUAGGUGGAUCGUUAAGUGCGAUGCGAAAUCCUGUGGCUCAACCAUAUGGACUGUAUCGCAUACUGGCAAUCUAGAGGACAUGAGAGGCAAGUGGAAUUACCGGUGUAGCAGUGAAAUGCGUAGAUAUCGGUAGGAACACCAAUGGCGAAGGCAGCUUGCUGGCAUGUAUCUGACGCUAAGGCACGAAAGCGUGGGGAGCGAACAGG
rnacentral:rRNA from 1 species